rnacentral:lncRNA from 1 species
CAUCACGGGGGAUACACCCAACUGGAAGUGAAAAAUCAGUUUUCAGGGGCUGACUUUGGCAAAGAGUAAGUCAAGACUGGGGUGUAAACUGGAAAAAUUAUCCCAGAGAAUGUCCUCUGAGAAGUCAUCCCAAUGCUGGCUUUGUUUGCCUCCUUUCUCCCAGAGAUAGAGCACUGCCCCCAGGUACUAAUGGGAACCUGGGGUUUGAAGACCUCCCUGGAUCUACAGCAUCUCUCUGAAAGCUUUUACAGAAUAUACUAUGGAGACCUCAAUUAUUGUCUUAUGUGUAAUUUUGGAGUAAGGAGAUGGCAGAGAAUUUGGAAGACAAGCAUUCCCAAGACUAAGACUUUCCAUGUUAUUUCCAAAACAAGCUAUCACAACUGUUAUACCUCCAAACACAUAAGUUUUAUAAACCCUGGACUCUUGGGAAUCCACUAAUAAAAUACUUGAUAUUCUGCAAAGCCACUGAAUUUGUUCAGCACCCAUUUAUUUAUCCAACAAAUACUUCCUGAGCGUGAUUCUAGCACUGCGUGUGCUCUGAAAACAAAUGAAAAAAAGUAUAAGACAUUGUCCCUAACCUCAAAGACAUGGCAGUGCGGUUGGGGAGACAAGAUUUACAAACGGAAAGGAAAGCUAAUAAUAGAACACAGCUUAAGAUGAAACAACAAAGAUAAAAAUAAAUAAAUUGCCAAAAGAUAGAUAAGUGCCAAAUGAAACAAUAAAAGUGACCUGGAGUUUCAGAAGGAAUACAUCACUGGUGGCCAAAAGCGUCAGAAGAGACUCCCUGGCAAGGUAGGAAGGACUUGAGCAUUGGAACACACAAGGAGGACAAGGGCGAGGCUAUGAGUGGGGAAGCUUUAUUGCACACGGACUCUGGCUCUGACAUGGCCACCGGGUCUGCUGGUGCCCCAGUCAAACAAACCACUCUCAGAGUAACUUGACUGCAUAUGCAGAAUGACCAGUGACUUCUGUCCAGAAGGC